GCGGGAGUAGCUCAGCUGGUUAGAGCAUCAGCCUUCCAAGCUGAGGGUCGCGGGUUCGAAUCCCGUCUCCCGCUCCA
rnacentral:tRNA from 1 species